rnacentral:rRNA from 1 species
CAGCCGCCGCGGUAAUACAGAGGGUGCGAGCGUUAAUCGGAUUUACUGGGCGUAAAGCGUGCGUAGGCGGCUUCUUAAGUCGGAUGUGAAAUCCAUGAGCUUAACUUAGGAAUUGCAUUCGAUACUGGGAAGCUAGAGUAUGGGAGAGGAUGGUAGAAUUCCAGGUGUAGCGGUGAAAUGCGUAGAGAUCUGGAGGAAUACCGAUGGCGAAGGCAGCCAUCUGGCCUAAUACUGACGCUGAGGUACGAAAGCAAGGGGAGCAAACAGGAUUAGAUACCCGGGUAGUCCCUGUCUCUUAUAC